rnacentral:rRNA from 1 species
AAGCGGGACCUUCGGGCCUCGCGCCAUUGGAUGAGCCUGCGUAAGAUUAGCUAGUUGGUAGGGUAAAGGCCUACCAAGGCGACGAUCUUUAGCUGGUCUGAGAGGAUGAUCAGCCACACUGGAACUGAGACACGGUCCAGACUCCUACGGGAGGCAGCAGUGGGGAAUAUUGCGCAAUGGGGGAAACCCUGAGNCAGCCAUGCCGCGUGUGUGAAGAAGGCCUUAGGGUUGUAAAGCACUUUCAAUUGGGAAGAAAAGCUUGUCAUUAAUAGUGCAAGNNCU